GAGUUUGAUCCUGGCUCAGAUUGAACGCUGGCGGCAUGCCUUACACAUGCAAGUCGAACGGCAGCACGGGAGCAAUCCUGGUGGCGAGUGGCGAACGGGUGAGUAAUAUAUCGGAACGUGCCCAGUCGUGGGGGAUAACGCAGCGAAAGCUGCGCUAAUACCGCAUACGAUCCAUGGAUGAAAGCGGGGGACUCGCAAGGGCCUCGCGCGAUUGGAGCGGCCGAUAUCAGAUUAGGUAGUUGGUGUGGUAAAAGCGCACCAAGCCGACGAUCUGUAGCUGGUCUGAGAGGACGACCAGCCACACUGGAACUGAGACACGGUCCAGACUCCUACGGGAGGCAGCAGUGGGGAAUUUUGGACAAUGGGCGCAAGCCUGAUCCAGCAAUGCCGCGUGCAGGAUGAAGGCCUUCGGGUUGUAAACUGCUUUUGUACGGAACGAAACGGUCUGCUUUAAUACAGUGGGCUAAUGACGGUACCGUAAGAAUAAGCACCGGCGAACUACGUGCCAGCAGCCGCGGUAAUACGUAGGGUGCGAGCGUUAAUCGGAAUUACUGGGCGUAAAGCGUGCGCAGGCGGUUAUAUAAGACAGAUGUGAAAUCCCCGGGCUCAACCUGGGACCUGCAUUUGUGACUGUAUAGCUAGAGUACGGUAGAGGGGGAUGGAAUUCCGCGUGUAGCAGUGAAAUGCGUAGAUAUGCGGAGGA
rnacentral:rRNA from 1 species